rnacentral:rRNA from 1 species
GAUAAACGCUGGCGGCGUGCCUAAUACAUGCAAGUCGAGCGAACGGACGAGAAGCUUGCUUCUCUGAUGUUAGCGGCGGACGGGUGAGUAACACGUGGAUAACCUACCUAUAAGACUGGGAUAACUUCGGGAAACCGGAGCUAAUACCGGAUAAUAUUUUGAACCGCAUGGUUCAAAAGUGAAAGACGGUCUUGCUGUCACUUAUAGAUGGAUCCGCGCUGCAUUAGCUAGUUGGUAAGGUAACGGCUUACCAAGGCAACGAUGCAUAGCCGACCUGAGAGGGUGAUCGGCCACACUGGAACUGAGACACGGUCCAGACUCCUACGGGAGGCAGCAGUAGGGAAUCUUCCGCAAUGGGCGAAAGCCUGACGGAGCAACGCCGCGUGAGUGAUGAAGGUCUUCGGAUCGUAAAACUCUGUUAUUAGGGAAGAACAUAUGUGUAAGUAACUGUGCACAUCUUGACGGUACCUAAUCAGAAAGCCACGGCUAACUACGUGCCAGCAGCCGCGGUAAUACGUAGGUGGCAAGCGUUAUCCGGAAUUAUUGGGCGUAAAGCGCGCGUAGGCGGUUUUUUAAGUCUGAUGUGAAAGCCCACGGCUCAACUGUGGAGGGUCAUUGGAAACUGGAAAACUUGAGUGCAGAAGAGGAAAGUGGAAUUCCAUGUGUGGCGGUGAAAUGCGCAGAGAUAUGGAGGAACACCAGUGGCGAAGGCGACUUUCUGGUCUGUAACUGACGCUGAUGUGCGAAAGCGUGGGGAUCAAACAGGAUUAGAUACCCUGGUAGUCCACGCCGUAAACGAUGAGUGCUAAGUGUUAGGGGGUUUCCGCCCCUUAGUGCUGCAGCUAACGCAUUAAGCACUCCGCCUGGGGAGUACGACCGCAAGGUUGAAACUCAAAGGAAUUGACGGGGACCCGCACAAGCGGUGGAGCAUGUGGUUUAAUUCGAAGCAACGCGAAGAACCUUACCAAAUCUUGACAUCCUUUGACAACUCUAGAGAUAGAGCCUUCCCCUUCGGGGGACAAAGUGACAGGUGGUGCAUGGUUGUCGUCAGCUCGUGUCGUGAGAUGUUGGGUUAAGUCCCGCAACGAGCGCAACCCUUAAGCUUAGUUGCCAUCAUUAAGUUGGGCACUCUAAGUUGACUGCCGGUGACAAACCGGAGGAAGGUGGGGAUGACGUCAAAUCAUCAUGCCCCUUAUGAUUUGGGCUACACACGUGCUACAAUGGACAAUACAAAGGGCAGCGAAACCGCGAGGUCAAGCAAAUCCCAUAAAGUUGUUCUCAGUUCGGAUUGUAGUCUGCAACUCGACUACAUGAAGCUGGAAUCGCUAGUAAUCGUAGAUCAGCAUGCUACGGUGAAUACGUUCCCGGGUCU